CCGAUCUCAAAAAAUUAUCUAUUUCCAACAAUUCAAAUAUUCUAAUCUGAACUACAAGAUUCGAAUCAAAUUAAAGAAAACAAUGCCAUAGAUUACCUAAACAAGCAAGUAUUACUCCUCUAGAUCUCAAUCAAAAAGCCCAAAAUCCCCAAAAAAUAUCGCCUAUAUCAGCAUCUGAAAUUCAAAAACAAGGAGAGAAUCCGUCUCAAAAAGAAAAGAAUAAUAAAUUCUCUGAGAUUUAAUACAUUCCUGAUCUCAAAUCAACCAGGAAAAAUAAAAGAAAAUGAUCGUAAAAAUAAAGCAGCUAUCGCAUCAGAACUCAAGGGUGAAGCAAAGAUCUUGAGAUCAGGGCAAAAGAGAAGAAGGGUGAGAGAGACAGAGGCCUCAAACAAGGGUACGGACGGGGUUCGGGUUCCGACGUGAGAACCGUUAACGAACUCACCGGCGGCGGAUCGGAGCACCUAGCCGAGAUCGCAUCGGCUCCGGGGCGAAGACGGAUUGCCUCCAGAGACCAAGAUCGGAUCGAAGCUGGGAUCGUUGAGUGGCGGAUGAUGAAAGUUCGAGCGAGGAAUGGAGAGGGGGAAGAGGAGACGAUCGGUAGGAGCAGGAGUGAGGCUUCAGAAUGAGAGGGGCAUGGAAAUUGAAAUUUUUGCAACAGUCGAGCUCGUCCGCCUUGGCAAGUCGGCGUAUAUAAACCUGCGGGCCCACGAGACAAUAAACGCCGAUUCGGGGAGAAUGUUCACGGAAUACGCGGAAGAGCGUGCGCGGCCAUGCGCCCCCCUUAGCUGGAAACGGGGCCACCAACGGCAAAUCGGCG
rnacentral:lncRNA from 1 species